rnacentral:rRNA from 1 species
CCUACGGGUGGCAGCAGUGAGGAAUAUUGGUCAAUGGGCGGAAGCCUGAACCAGCCAAGUAGCGUGCAGGAUGCCGGCCCUACGGGUUGUCAACUGCUUUUAUACGGGAAUAACGCUCCUUACGUGUAGGGCUUUGCAUGUACCGUAUGAAUAAGGACCGGCUAAUUCCGUGCUAGCCGCCGCGGUAAUACGGAAGGUCCGGGCGUUAUCCGGAUUUAUUGGGUUUAAAGGGGGCGUAGGACGCAUGUCAAGCGUGCUGUGAAAUGUCCGGGCUCAACCCGGGCCUUGCAGCGGGAACUGGCGUACUUGAGUCCGCGGAAGGCAGGCGGAAUU